ACACAACAAAAAAAAAACGUUGCGUCGAGCGGUGGCUGGCCGGUGUCUCCAUAACACAAAACCAACACCCACCACCAUUCUCCGCCGCAUCCGCCUCCCUUCGAUCGGCCAAAAACCGCCCCGAAGUCUCUCUCCUCUCCGCCUCGCGAAACCACCCCCGGGACCUUCGACGCCGCCCCAGUUCCAUGGCGAACACCGAGAACCGCGAGGAAUUCGCAUUCCCCGCGAAGCGCAAGCCCGAUCUCGCCCGCCGCGAACCCGAAGGAGGAGAAGGAGGUGGAGGAGUAGGAGAAGGAGAUCGCUCCGGGAAAAGCCUCAAGCUCGAACCUCCGGAGAACCUCAACCACGGCGGCUGCGGCGGCUGCGGCGGCGGCGACGAUCGCUCGGAGUCCGGCGACGGGAACGCGCGCGGGGAGGGGAAUCACUCGGAGAAGGCCCCGGUUCUGGAGGAAAAGCGAGCGGAAGCGGAAGCGGAUGCGGAUGCGGAUGUGGAGGUUGAGGAGGAGGAGGAAGAAGAGGACGACGAUUACGAGGACAACGACGACGACGAGGAUGAUGAUGAUGAAGAGGAAGAGGAAGAGGGUGGAGACGAUGAAGGCGACGCGGUGGAUGUGAAGGGUAAGGGGAUUGUGAAGGACGAUAAGGGGAAGGGCAAAUUGAUCGUCGAAGAAGAAGAGGAGGAUAGUGGCGAUAGCAGCAGCGAUGAUUACGGCAAUGCCGGCGUCCCUUCGGAGAGCGACAGCGAUCUGUCCGACGAUCCGCUCGCGGAGGUCGACUUGGACAACAUCCUCCCGUCCAGGACUCGGCGGCGGACGGCUCGGCCCGGGGUUUUUAUCGCCGGGGAUCGUAAGGACGGAGGAGACGAUCGAUCGUAGAGGUUCGAAGUGCGGCUGAUGGUCAAAGCCAUUAAUGGCUGAGAAUACGGAUUCCAGUCGAAUCCUUGAUCAUUUCGUGGACUGUUCAUGCACAAGACGAAAUCGACUGUGAGGAAAAGUUUGCAGAGGUAUUCCUAUCUAUCGUCUGACAUAAAUGGUGUUUUCCGGCUCCGGUACACAUGGUGCGAACAUCCAUUCUCUUGGGAAAGGAAAAAACGGCGCUCAUAUGGUAUAUGAUUUAAGACAACCCUUGUCAUGUCUUAGCCUGGAAUCUCCGAUCGAUCUCAAACAUUUACAUAUCUCCGUCAUCCCAAUAUUCGUUCUUCUUACUAGGCGGCUUGAUGGCCUGAGGCGAGGAGCUUGCUCUGACUUGCUACAGAAGGUAAUGUAAGAACACAGACAAGUCGAUAUGGUGCUCCUUCUGGGAGCCUGGGCUCACUGUAGACCAGAACCUUGGACUUGAGGAAGGCCUCGACCCUUUUCAUGUCUGGGCUCGAAGAUUUGCUUGGUCUGUAUCAUAUUCGAAGAGGUCGUAUACGUAAGAGGAUGCAGAUAGAUCAUCACGGAACAGUGAACAA